AUGUGCGUGCGUCUCCCCGGAAGUCAAGAACAAUUCGUCGUUUGCGCCAGAUUGGUCCUAGAGCAGGGCGUACUCUGCAAAGUUCUAAUAAUGGCGGCGACAGUGGUGGUCAGAUUUGGGGAAGAACACUUCGUCCUAUAUUGCGCAUCGGAUCCCUGGAGAAAGAAGCCAUUGAAGAAGCCUCACCAUCUUUCUCAGCUGAGGCCAUCAUUGCUCUCUGUAUGCUCUCUGUACUUGGGUACCUCUGCUCACAAGAUGAACAGCGCUCAAGCCACAGGUGAAGUGAAAAAUUGCUCGCUUAUUUGCUUCCACAUAUACUGA
rnacentral:rRNA from 1 species